AGAGAAAAGAAGAGAGAGAAAAGAGGUGGCUUAUUAGUUCGGUUGUUGUUGUUGCUUCUUCUUCUUCUG
rnacentral:ribozyme from 14 species